UUUAUCGGCUUUGUCAUUUAAUGAUUCAUUUAUUUUAAAAAGACCAAACUAAUAUCGAUGAUUCUUUUCAUUGGGUUACACACCACAUUUUAUGUCAGUUGCUCCUAAUACAAAGUUCAGCUUUUCUUAAUUUCUUCUUCAUUGUUGCAUUUCCCACUGUUAUUGUUGGAAUACAAACAAAUAAGGAGAGUCACCUCAGAGGUAUUAGCCUUUUCUUAUGACAUCAGUGUGUAGGCUGUGCAAAAUUGAGGCAUCAGUUAGUCACUCGCACCAUCUGUGUGGGCCUGGAGUAAGCGAGAUGUAAUCUGUCAUAUGGUGAGCUUUGUACAAAACAGCAACAAUCCACAUUCAGCUGCAUAGAUGAAAUGGAUCCCUUGAGGAGCUUCAGCCUGCCAGAGCGUGCUCUCGUGGGUGUCAGCUGCUGGGGGUCAGCUCUUCAUAAUGCAAGGAGGGAAAACUUGCUGUUUGUCCAGACAAGAACUAGGAGGGUGGUGGCAGUCAGAUCCACAGACUAAAGUUUGCUAGCCAGACUGCGGUGGUAUUAAGUAGCACUUUAAAAUUUCAGAGCCAACAUCCUUUCUCAUUUUUACUGACUUAAGAAAAUUUGCUCAGGGAUGAUCUGAAUACAAGAAAAGAGAAAAUGAUGAAAUAAUUCCUUUUAGGUUUUACUUCCCACGGGACUAAACCUAUUGUCUUCCCUGGCCUCCCGAACCUACCAUGAUGUUGUUCCUCAAGAAGGGGAAGGCAGGGGUCUACCAUGUAAAGGAAAAGGCUAACUGCACAGUUAACAGUCUGCAGAAGUCUCCCUGCACAGCACUGUGUGGAAGGAAGAACAGGACAUGACAGGAUAUAUCCCCAGGCAACCUCACCUAUUUGGUUGGAAUUUAUGAUGUUACUUUUCACUCACACCCUUAAAAUUGCACCUCUCCACUGACUUCUUUGGCAGUCAUCUCUAGAUUUUAUUUCUAGCAUACAGAUGACAAUUACAUGAAGGUAUCGCAACAUUUUUACAUACAGCACUUGCACGUUCCCAAGAAAAGCAUACAAGAGCCUUUACAGCCCUACAUCAAAUAACUUCAGCUUGUGCUGAACAGAAUUCCUGCAAUACGUGUUUUCGCUAACUAGGUCACAAUCCCUACAUUAUGGAUACUAUAAGAUGACACCAAUGCCAUGCCAACUACUUCAUUUUUAUAAAGCAUAUCUGUGGAAAUGACUUUAAAGGACAAUUACGUCUUCUACCUUCCUUUUCGUAGUGGUACCAAGUAGCCCAAAAGGCAUUAUUAGUUGCUGAGCAAUGGUCUCCUUUCUUCCUUAUAUACUGCUUGCGACUUUUUUAAACGUAAAGAACUCCUAUACUUAUUUUCAGAUUAAAAAUAUGAUCUCACACAAAUUUAUUAUUAAGUAGUUAUUUUUAUGUAACAUUGGGGGUUUUUCCUAGUGGUUGAUUUUACCAGAGAGACACAGAUGAGCAUAAAUACUUUUCCCAGCUGUGGUUGUGGAAUGGAGGACAGAAUGGAGCAGCAGAUAGCUUUAGCAAACAAAUGGAGCUUUAGCAAACAAAAAAUCUCCAAAAUUCUGAGUCAGGAGAAUGCAGUCUGUCUUCUCACCCCAACAGUCACCAGAAAGAAAGGGAAGACCAAGCUUUCUACUGUAGUAGACAGUAUAAAAUAAAAUAAAAUAAAAUAAAAUAAAAUAAAAUAAAAUAAGCCUAUUGAGUACAGCCCAAAGACAUUGGGUUAAGAAAGCCACAAAAGAGCUUUUCUUAUGUUUUUUCUGUAAGCACUAGAGCCAACUGUUUUCAAGUUUUGCAGUAUUUAAUACUGUGUACUCUUGCUGUCUGGUUUCUAGAAGUCUCCGUGAUCCAUAAAGGCAAACAGGCAAGACAGUUGUAAGCAUCAUGGAGUUGUUAUCUUGAUGACAAGCUUCUUUAAGUCAGACCUUCUCUGUCAUCCUUCCUUACACUCUUACCUUCAAUACACUGAGCAUAACUUUCUAGAGAAAUUAAUAUUUUAGGGUAUCUCCAUUUUGGCUACCAUUUUUGAACAGUUGAUUCCCAGACAACAUCUCCCAUGGUCUCCAAGUACCCAUAAAGCAUCUCAGCCCUCUAAGAGUGGAGUCAAUUAAGGCCUCAAUCGAAACACCUGAAAAAUCUAUUGGACUCUUUCAACUGAUCAUGGUAGCCAUUGGUUUUAAGACAUUUGAAUUUCCAACCAGUUCUUGCUACAAGUCCUAGCCCUAUGCAUGUGAAACUGCUUGGGUAUAGGACAUGCAGUAAGGACAAUUGAGUAAAGAUGUGACAGAAAUACUGAUGAAUUGAUUAGUAUUAAAAAAAAAAAAAAAAGAAAAA
rnacentral:lncRNA from 1 species